UGUAUAUAGCCCACUGGUAGUAUUUCAUGGU
rnacentral:piRNA from 1 species